rnacentral:rRNA from 1 species
CGGAUGAACGCUAGCGAUAGGCCUAACACAUGCAAGUCGAGGGGCAGCACAUGAAGCAGCAAUGGCGGAUGGUGGCGACCGGCGCACGGGUGAGUAACGCGUAUGCAACCUACCUACAACAGGGGAAUAACCCGUUGAAAAACGGACUAAUACCCCAUAAAACAGGGAUCCCGCAUGGGAAUAUUUGUUAAAGAUUUAUCGGUUGUAGAUGGGCAUGCGUUCCAUUAGCUAGUUGGUGAGGUAACGGCUCACCAAGGCAACGAUGGAUAGGGGAACUGAGAGGUUUAUCCCCCACACUGGUACUGAGACACGGACCAGACUCCUACGGGAGGCAGCAGUGAGGAAUAUUGGUCAAUGGGCGCAAGCCUGAACCAGCCACGUCGCGUGAAGGAAGACGGCCCUACGGGUUGUAAACUUCUUUUGUAAGGGAAUAAAGUGUAGUACGUGUACUAUUUUGCAUGUACCUUACGAAUAAGGAUCGGCUAACUCCGUG